CCAGACUCCUACGGGAGGCAGCAGUGGGGAAUAUUGCACAAUGGGGGAAACCCUGAUGCAGCGACGCCGCGUGAAGGACGAAGUAUUUCGGUACGUAAACUUCUAUCAGCAGGGAAGAAAAUGACGGUACCUGACCAAGAAGCCCCGGCUAACUACGUGCCAGCAGCCGCGGUAAUACGUAGGGGGCAAGCGUUAUCCGGAUUUACUGGGUGUAAAGGGAGCGUAGACGGCCAUGCAAGUCUGAUGUGAAAACCCGGGGCUCAACCCCGGGACUGCAUUGGAAACUGUGCGGCUGGAGUGUCGGAGAGGCAAGUGGAAUUCCUAGUGUAGCGGUGAAAUGCGUAGAUAUUAGGAGGAACACCAGUGGCGAAGGCGGCUUGCUGGACGACGACUGACGUUGAGGCUCGAAAGCGUGGGGAGCAAACAGGAUUAGAUACCCCCGUAUG
rnacentral:rRNA from 1 species